rnacentral:misc_RNA from 1 species
GAUGAAGAACGCAGCGAAAUGUGAUAAGUAAUGUGAAUUGCAGAAUUCAGUGAAUCAUCGAAUCUUUGAACGCACCUUGCGCUCCUUGGUAUUCCGAGGAGCAUGCCUGUUUGAGUGUCAUGAAAUUCUCAACCUUUUCAGCUUUCUUUGUUGAUCAGGCUUGGAUGUGGGAGUAUGCGGGCUUCUCAGAAGUCGGCUCUCCUGAAAUGCAUUAGCGGGACCUUUGUUGCCUGGCUUUGGUGUGAUAAUUAUCUACGCCAUUGUAGUCAAGCAGCUUAAAAUGAGGUUUCAGCUUCUAACCGUCUCCCCUGAGACAACUUUUUGACAAUUUGACCUCAAAUCAGGUAGGACUACCCGCUGAACUUAAGCAUAUCAAUAAGCGGAGGA